rnacentral:rRNA from 1 species
GGCCUGGAGACAGGUGCUGCAUGGCUGUCGUCGGCUCGUGUCGUGAGAUGUUGGUUAAGUCCCGCAACGAGCGCAACCCCUAUCUUUAGUUGCCAUCAUUGAGUUGGGCACUCUAAAGAGACUGCCGGUGUCAAACCGGAGGAAGGUGGGGACGACGUCAAGUCCUCAUGGCCUUAUGACCAGGGCUACACACGUACUACAAUGGCCGGUACAAAGGGCAGCGACACAGCGAUGUGAAGCGAAUCCCGAAAAGCCGGUCUCAGUCCGGAUUGGAGUCUGCAACUCGACUCCAUGAAGUUGGAAUCGCUAGUAACCGCGGAUCAGCACGCCGCGGUGAAUACGUUCCCGGGCCUU